CCUACGGGGUGCUGCAGUGGGGAAUAUUGGACAAUGGGCGAAAGCCUGAUCCAGCCAUGCCGCGUGUGUGAAGAAGGCCUUCGGGUUGUAAAGCACUUUCAGUGGGGAAGAAAGCCUUGGGGCUAAUACCCUCGAGGAAGGACAUCACCCACAGAAGAAGCACCGGCUAACUCCGUGCCAGCAGCCGCGGUAAUACGGAGGGUGCGAGCGUUAAUCGGAAUUACUGGGCGUAAAGCGCGCGUAGGCGGUCUGAUAAGCCGGUUGUGAAAGCCCCGGGCUCAACCUGGGAACGGCAUCCGGAACUGUCAGGCUAGAGUGCAGGAGAGGAAGGUAGAAUUCCCGGUGUAGCGGUGAAAUGCGUAGAGAUCGGGAGGAAUACCAGUGGCGAAGGCGGCCUUCUAGACUGACACUGACGCUGAGGUGCGAAAGCGUGGGUAGCAAACAGGAUUAGAUACCCGGGUAGUC
rnacentral:rRNA from 1 species